rnacentral:lncRNA from 10 species
UGAUAAAGACAAUAGGAUUUCCAUGAAAUUGCACAAUUUUAAUCCUUCCUGGAUGCAUUAAACCACCCAACCUUUGGUAUCUUUCUAUGGCAGCCUGAGCUGACUAACACCCUUGGUAGGUGGGCAGCAUUCACCUUAUUGGGCUACAUGAUGAGAAGUUAAAGUAACUUUAGCAAUAGGCACCAUUUGAUUUCAUUGUAUAGAUAUUGUGUCUUUUGCACUGAUUUUGCCUUUUUUAGUUGUGUGUAUAUUGAUGCCUGGGCCUAGCAUUACAAGACUAGUCGAAAUGGGAAGAAAGAAAAGAAAGUGGGAAAGAUACCAAGUUCCAUAAUUGCAUCCUCUACCCACAUCCAGUUCUUAGAAUCUUUUCCAAUGGAGACUGCACCUUGUGUACACUCAAAUUCAAUCUGAGCGCACAAUCAUUUAGACAACCAAGGCAACUUUUCCAAUUUUCAGCAUCACACGCUUGGGAAAACAAGUAUUUCAAUCACUAAUUUAAAUAUUCAUUGAGGUAAUUAUUCUGAGGUUGAUGAAAAAUAUGGUGUAUCCAUGUACUGUUGCCUUCUCCUGGGUCAAGAAUGUUGUCUUUACUCUGCUGGCUCACAUUUGACCAGAAAUUGGAGUCCCAGCAAAUCUUACUAGCCACUCAGGAAGCCUAUUUUAAGAUAGUCCCAAUCUCAAACUUGUUCUAAGACUUGUAUGCUGACUGAGGAGAAAGAGCCUCAUGACAAAAAUUCAACUAGAGCUGUGGGUGACAGUUGUGUGUCUCACUACUGGUCUGGGCCCAGGUUUCCCGUGAGCACCUAAUGAAUAGACUCAAUUGCAGGGAUCGUCAAGAUGCUCACUAUGUCUACCUCAUAGCCUCAAAAGAAGUGAUAACUAACAGAAUUUGUGUAGUAUCCUGAAGGGAAAUUAAUCCAGAUAUAGAGGAAAAGAUAAGGAUUUUUUAAAACAGACAUGUGAUUCAACAGUUGUUUAAGAUGCAGAAAGCUGUAAGAGACAGUUGUUCCCACUCUAAUGACAAGAAAAAGCUGUAUGGUCUGCAAAAUCAUACGUGCUUUGAUCCCACCAGA